GGCGGCGUGCCNAAUACAUGCAAGUCGAGCGCAGGNAAGCCGUUCUGAACCCUUCGGGGGGACGACGGUGGAAUGAACGGCGGACGGGUGAGUAACACGUAAAGAACCUGCCCAUAGGUCUGGGAUAACCACGAAAAAUCGGGGCUAAUACCGGAUGUGUCNUCGGACCGCAUGGUCCGUUGAUGAAAGGCNCUUCGGCGUCGCCCAUGGAUGGCUUUGCGGUNCAUUAGCUAGUUGGUGGGGUAACGGCCCACCAANGCGACGAUGCAUANCCGAACNGAAAAGGUGAUCGGCCACACUGGGACUGAGACACAGCCCANACUCCUACCGGGAAGCACC
rnacentral:rRNA from 1 species